UACGAAGGGGGCAAGCGUUGUCCGGAAUCAUUGGGCGUAAAGAGCGCGUAGGCGGCCCUGUAAGUCCGCUGUGAAAGUCAAGGGCUCAACCCUUGGAUGCCGGUGGAUACUGCAGGGCUAGAGUCCGGAAGAGGCGAGUGGAAUUCCUGGUGUAGCGGUGAAAUGCGCAGAUAUCAGGAGGAACACCGAUGGCGAAGGCAGCUCGCUGGGACGGUACUGACGCUGAGGCGCGAAAGCGUGGGGAGCAAACAGG
rnacentral:rRNA from 1 species